rnacentral:lncRNA from 1 species
AUGACUGUGUCAUCUCAUGGAGUCGCAGGAGCAGUCGGUUCUUGUGGCGUCAGCGUCUCAAGUUGGGCUGGUUUGGGUCAGAACUGGGCCUCGAGCAGCAGCAGCAGCAUCCGACGCUGGACCAGGACCAGGUGCGGGGACGGGACGAGGAGCAGGGCCAGGACCAGGAGCAGGGCCAGGACCGGGAGCAGGACCAGGGCCAGGGCCAGGACCAGGACCAGGACCAGGACCAGGAGCAGGACCAGGAGCAGGACCAGGGCCAGGGCCAGGACCGGGAGCAGGAUGAGGAACGGGGAGAGGACCAGGGCUAGGACCAGGAGCAGGAGCAGGGGCAGGACCAGGACCAGGACCAGGAGCAGGAGCAGGACCAGGGCCAGGGCCAGGACCGGGAGCAGGAUGAGGAACGGGGAGAGGACCAGGGCUAGGACCAGGAGCAGGAGCAGGGGCAGGACCAGGGCCAGGGCCAGGACCGGGAGCAGGAUGAGGAACGGGGAGAGGACCAGGGCUAGGACCAGGAGCAGGAGCAGGGGCAGGACCAGGACCAGGACCAGGACCAGGAGCAGGAGCAGGACCAGGGCCAGGGCCAGGACCGGGAGCAGGAUGAGGAACGGGGAGAGGACCAGGGCUAGGACCAGGAGCAGGAGCAGGGGCAGGACCAGGGCCAGGGCCAGGACCGGGAGCAGGAUGAGGAACGGGGAGAGGACCAGGGCUAGGACCAGGACCAGGACCAGGACCAGGACCAGGAGCAGGAGCAGGACCAGGGCCAGGGCCAGGACCGGGAGCAGGAUGAGGAACGGGGAGAGGACCAGGGCUAGGACCAGGAGCAGGACCAGGGCCAGGGCCAGGGCCAGGACCAGGAGCAGGACCAGGAACGGGAGCAGGACCAGGGCUAGGACCAGGAGCAGGACCAGGGCCAGGGCCGGGCCGGGGCCGGGACCUGGAGCAGGACCAGGGCGAGGACCAGGAGCAGGACCAGGACCGGGAGCAGGCCCAGGGCGAGGACCAGGAGCAGGACCAGGACCGGGACCAGGGCCAGGACCGGGACCAGGACCAGGACCAGGGCCAGGACCGGGAGCAGGACCAGGGCCAGGGCCAGGACCAGGACCAGGACCAGGAGCAGGAGCAGGACCAGGGCCAGGGACCAGGGCCGGGACCAGGGCCAGGGCCAGGACCAGGACCAGGACCAGGACCGGGACCAGGGCCAGGUCAGUGUGA